UCAAGCUUUUUCAUUUUUCUUUCCUUGUUUUCUUUUCGUUGCUUUUCUUUUCUUACUUCAUCCUUCCCUUAACUUCUUGGGCACCAAAACCACAGCUUCUAACCCCAUUUUUCAGCAUAUCUAAACCCUAGGAGAGAGAAAGAAAAAACUCUUUUCCUUUUCUUCCUUUUCUAUUUCUACUCCAUUUCCAUCAAUACUUGAAUUUUCGACUACAGAUCUUCAUUUUAAAGCCAAUAGGUUUUGUUGAUCUUCAUGCCUUCAAGCAUCAAGGGUUUAAUGGUAUUUUGGGACUACCUGGACUAAGAUCAUGUGGACACAAGUUUCGUUAGGUGGCAUUGUUAAGAUUUCAAGUUCGAAGAUAGUUGGAUCUUAGGUAGAGGCGCUUCCUCCUGUUCAUCUUACGUUUUACCGUGCUAAAGGCUAAAAGCAAAUACUAAAAGCACAUGCAACAAUUACGUGUCGGGAAAAGUUUUGAAAGACAUGCUCAUGCAUUAUUAUCUCCGUACAAGGUGGUUCAAUUUUUCAGCACUGGUCAUAUUUCUAUGUGAUGUUACAUCGGAGAUUAUUUUAAUUGUUGCUGUACUGUUUUCUUGGGUUUAUAUAUAUAGGAAGGGAUAAGGAUUCAUCCCUCAAAUUUUUUU